AGACCCGAAACCCGGUGAUCUAGCCAUGGGCAGGUUGAAGGUUGGGUAACACUAACUGGAGGACCGAACCGACUAAUGUUGAAAAAUUAGCGGAUGACCUGUGGCUGGGGGUGAAAGGCCAAUCAAACCGGGAGAUAGCUGGUUCUCCCCGAAAGCUAUUUAGGUAGCGCCUCGUGAAUUCAUCUCCGGGGGUAGAGCACUGUUUCGGCUAGGGGGCCAUCCCGGCUUACCAACCCGAUGCAAACUGCGAAUACCGGAGAAUGUUAUCACGGGAGACACACGGCGGGUGCUAACGUCCGUCGUGAAGAGGGAAACAACCCAGACCGCCAGCUAAGGUCCCAAAGUCAUGGUUAAGUGGGAAACGAUGUGGGAAGGCCCAGACAGCCAGGAUGUUGGCUUAGAAGCAGCCAUCAUUUAAAGAAAGCGUAAUAGCUCACUGGUCGAGUCGGCCUGCGCGGAAGAUGUAACGGGGCUAAACCAUGCACCGAAGCUGCGGCAGCGACACUGUGUGUUGUUGGGUAGGGGAGCGUUCUGUAAGCCUGUGAAGGUGUGUCGUGAGGCAUGCUGGAGGUAUCAGAAGUGCGAAUGCUGACAUAAGUAACGAUAAAGCGGGUGAAAAGCCCGCUCGCCGGAAGACCAAGGGUUCCUGUCCAACGUUAAUCGGGGCAGGGUGAGUCGACCCCUAAGGCGAGGCCGAAAGGCGUAGUCGAUGGGAAACGGGUUAAUAUUCCCGUACUUGGUGUUACUGCGAAGGGGGGACGGAGAAGGCUAUGUUGGCCGGGCGACGGUUGUCCCGGUUUAAGCGUGUAGGUGUGUGUUCCAGGUAAAUCCGGUUCACUUUAACACUGAGGCGUGACGACGAGGCACUACGGUGCUGAAGCAACAAAUGCCCUGCUUCCAGGAAAAGCCUCUAAGCAUCAGGUAACAUCAAAUCGUACCCCAAACCGACACAGGUGGUCAGGUAGAGAAUACCAAGGCGCUUGAGAGAACUCGGGUGAAGGAACUAGGCAAAAUGGUGCCGUAACUUCGGGAGAAGGCACGCUGACACGUAGGUGAAGUGAUUUACUCAUGGAGCUGAAGUCAGUCGAAGAUACCAGCUGGCUGCAACUGUUUAUUAAAAACACAGCACUGUGCAAACACGAAAGUGGACGUAUACGGUGUGACGCCUGCCCGGUGCCGGAAGGUUAAUUGAUGGGGUCAGCGCAAGCGAAGCUCCUGAUCGAAGCCCCGGUAAACGGCGGCCGUAACUAUAACGGUCCUAAGGUAGCGAAAUUCCUUGUCGGGUA
rnacentral:rRNA from 1 species